UAAAGGAUAGCGCUUUUAUGCUGGGAUGGAGGGCGUAGGAGAUCACCCUGGAUGCAAGCUCUAGGAGUCUGCUGGUACCCCGAAAGGCUACCAAGCUCGGCACCAGUUCUUUGUGUAUGUACUCGCGCACGCCCUGCCGAUGGUGUGGACCACAAGAUGCAAUAGCGAAACCUUUAUGGGACUGUGUUUUCCUUUGUUAUUUGUCUCUGUCUGCUCGCUUGGUGGGUAGCAAUGGAUUGGGAAAGAACUUCUGCAGGGAUGAUUCUUUGGUUGGGAAAGACUAUACUUGAAGGAAGCCAGCACAGAUCAAUGAUCAGAACUUGAGGUGGGAUUCAAGAGCAAGAACAUCAUUUGGAAACUUCAUGGAGCAUCAUUGAGAGAGAAAACAGCACAGUGAAGGAGCAUGACUUGGUUCCAUGCUGCACUGCAAUUAAAUACUCUAGACUAGACCAUUUGUAAAUAA